rnacentral:rRNA from 1 species
AGUGAACGCUGGCGGUAGGCCUAACACAUGCAAGUCGAACGGCAGCACAGUAAGAGCUUGCUCUUACGGGUGGCGAGUGGCGGACGGGUGAGGAAUACAUCGGAAUCUACUUUUUCGUGGGGGAUCACGUAGGGAAACUUACGCUCAUACCGCAUCCGCCCUACGGGUGAAAGCAGGGGAUCUUCGGACCUUGCGCGAUUGAAUGAGCCGCUGUCGGAUUAGCUAGUUGGCGGGGUAAAGGCCCACCAAGGCGACGAUCCGUAGCUGGUCUGAGAGGAUGGUCAGCCACACUGGAACUGGGACACGGUCCAGACUCCUACGGGAGGCAGCAGUGGGGAAUAUUGGACAAUGGGCGCAAGCCUGAUCCAGCCAGACCGCGUGGGUGAAGAAGGCCUUCGGGUUGUAAAGCCCUUUUGUUGGGAAAGAAAAGCAGCAGGUUAAGACCCCGCUGUUCUGACGGUACCCAAAGAAUAAGCACCGGCUAACUUCGUG